AGAGAGAGAGAGAGAGAGAGAGAGAGAGAGAGAGAGAGAGAGAGAGAGAGAGAGAGAGAGAGAGAGAGAGAGAGAGAGAGAGAGAGAGAGAGAGAGAGAGAGAGAGAGAGAGAGAGAGAGAGAGAGAGAGAGAGAGAGAGAGAGAGAGAGAGACCACGUAUGAUCGUCUCAGCAAAACAACCUCGUAGACUGCCUUUGUUAAGUGUUUAAUUUCUAAUGCAAACAAUUAUGUCACACGGUUAGAGUACUGUUUUUGUAACUACGGUAAGUGUAUGGAAAUAUAUUUAUCUCGUGCGGUCAAAGUGAUCUCACGUCCCCUAUGCGGCUAUGCCUCUAAGCCUCUAAGAUUUCAUUUUUUUUAGUUUUUUUUUUGAACCUAAUACGUGAUUAAAGUACAAUCUUAAACUUAUAAACAAGCAGAACAUGUAUAAGCCCUUUUUCAAAAAGAGAAAAGAAAAACCAGAACAUGUAUACAUAAAAAAAUUGGCUGUGAGGGUUUUAGAUUUUUCUUUGUACAACAGCUAAUUUUAUAUUGGUUAACCAAAAAAUAGUUAUCUAAAUGUAGUGAGACCUAGAUUUUAACAAAUCAAAUGUUAUUGUCUUUUAACGUGAGCUGUUACAGUAGCUAUAUCAAAUGAUAUCAUGAUUUUUUGGAGGAUGUGACAUGAGUUACCAUCUGCUUAUAUUGAUGAGUUAUAAAUCUGACUCAUCUUUAACUUUUUU
rnacentral:lncRNA from 1 species